ensembl:lncRNA
CACAUUUAGUCAUUUUAAUCCUUCCAGGAGCAACCUGCCAGGAGCGAGUUGCAGUAGUCCAGGCGUGAGAUGACAAGAGCCUGAAUCAGUACCUGGGCAGCCUUCUGAGUGAGAAGAGGACGUAUUCUCCUGAUAUUGUAGAGAGUGUAUCUACAGUAUUGUGUUAUCGCAGUGAUGUUGGGAGUCAGGGAAAGUUGGCUGUCGAGUGUCAUGCCGAGGUUCCUAGCAGUCAAAGUAGGCGUUAGCACGGAGUUGCCAAAGUUGACAGUCAAGUCCUGGGUCGGAGAAUCUUUUCCCGGAAAGAGAAGUAGUCCAGUCUUGUUGGGGUUGAUUUUCAGAUGGUGAGCAGACAUCCACUGAGAGAUGUUAGACAGACAGGGAGAGAUCCGUGCCGCCACCUGGGUGUCCGAGUGAGGGAAUGAGAGAAUUAGUUGGGUGUCAGCGGCAUCGCUGUGGUAGGAGAAGCCAUGCGAGCGAAUGACAGCGCCGAGAGAGUUUGUGUAGAGCGAGAAAAGGAGGGGACCCAUGACGAAACCCUAAGGAACUCCAGUAGUAAGAGGACAAGAUUCCGACACAGCUCCUCGCCAGGUUACUGGGUAGGUGCGGCCGUUGAGGUAAGAUGAGAGAAGGGAGAGAGCAAAGCCUGAGACACCAAGUUCCUGAAGGGAGGAAAUAAGGAUCUGGUGGUUGACGGUGUCAAAUGCAGUGGGGAGGUCCAGAAGAAUGAGGACAGAGGAGAGAGAGAGGCGGCUCUAGUAGUGUGGAGUUGCUCUGGGAAAGCAAGGAGAGCAGUCUCUGUGGAAUGGCCUGCCUUGAAGCCUGACUGGGUCAAGGAGGUUGUUACGGUGGAGAUAGGAGGAGAGUUGGUUAAAGAUCGCACGUUCAAGGGUUAGGGAAGAAGAGAGACCGGUCUGUAGUUGUUUUCUUCAGAAGGGUUGAGGGUAGGUUUCUUCAGGAGAGGGUUAACUCUUGCCUCCUUCAGAGAAUUGGUAAAACAGCCAGAUAACAGAGCAUUGUUGAUGAGACAGGUGAGGAAAGGAAGAAGGUCAGGUACGAUAGAUUGUAGAAGAUGUGAUGGAAUGGGGUUAAGAGGGCAGGUGGUGGGACGGGCAGAGGUUACUAGGGUAAGAAUUUGGUUAGGAGACAGGGGGGUGAAGGAGGAAAGUGAGUGCGAUAGAGGUGAAGUCAGUGGGACGCAAGUAGUAGGAGGUGGGUUUGAGAAAGAGGAGCUUAUGUCAGCUAUUUUCUUGGCAAAGUAGUUGACAAAGUCUCCUGGAAGAAUGGUGGAGGAGGACAAGGCGGUUUGAGAAGUUCGAAAAGAGUUUUUUGGAGUUAGAAAAUGAAGAUUCAAUUCUGGAUUGGUAGAAAGAGUUUUUGGCAGCAGAGAUAGAAGCAGAAAAAGAGGAGAAACUCAAGCAGGAGAGUCUCUGCAGGAGUGUUCGGAUGCAAGAAUGAGAAUGAGUCAGUAGAAGGGAGAGCUGAUAGAACCAAGGAGGCCAGGGAGGAUAGAGAGAGGGACCGAAUAUUGCGAUGAACAGGUACAUAAUCUGUCGAUGGGGCAGGGUCGUUAGCUAUAGAGUGGGAGAGCGUAAGAGAUGAAGUGGUCAGACACAUGAAGUGGAGUUACAGAGAGGUUAGUGGUAGAGCAGUUUCUGGUGAAGAUGUAGUCAAGGUGAUUGCCGGCUUUGAGUAGGAGGAGAGGGACUGAGUGACAGAGCGAAGGAAGAAAGUAGGUGUAAGAGGUCAGAUGACUUUUCUGUCUGGAUGUUAAAGUCACCCAGGAGGAUGAGCGGAGGGCCAUUUUCAGGGAAAUUGGACAGGAGAAUGUCCAGUUCUUGCAAAAAAUGACCCAAGGCGGACAGUAAAGGACAACGAUAUUUAAUUGUACCGGGUGAGUAACUGUUACAGCAUGGAAUUCGAAAGACAGUGGAGUGGAAGAGGGUAGAGAGAAAAGCGCCAUUUGGGUGAAAUGAGUAAACCUGUGCCACCACUCCAACCAGUGGGUCCGGGUUUGUGGCUGAAGGAGAAGGCAGAGGAGAGAGUGGCUGUGUCACGGUGUUGUUUAUUUCCUGUCUUAUUUUGUCAUUUCUGCUUCUGUUAAGCAGUGUGUGUCUCUUGUCACUUGUCGCGUCAUUGUCGAAUGUCCUGGAUGUUUCUAGAUUCUGCCUGCCUUUUUUCCCUGGUGCCUGUUUGCGUUUUUGCCCCUUGGCCUUUUGCUUUUGGUAUAUUGACUAUUAAAGUCUGCGUGUGAGUCCUGCAUUCCCCGCAUCCCUGACAGAAUGACGCAACCACGAAGGGACUCAGCGGACCCGCUGCCAGAUUACAGAACUGACUACAUGGAUGGGAGGAGCCCGUUCUGGCACCGUAAAACGAACUUUGUAUAUGGUCCCAGGAGUAAUCCUAAAUCCCAGGAGGAGCCCUGGCAAGCGGAAGCAGCAAUCUCCCGUACCCGCUGGGCCGCAGCAAUCUCCCGUAACCGCUGGGCCGCAGCGAUCCCCUGAUCCGGUUCCCUGCCUCGCUCCGCCUACUCGGCCAAUCCCGACCCAGAGACUCGCACCCCUGACCCCCGUACCGGCCCCCUGCCUCGCUCCGCCUACUCGGCCAAUCCCGACCCAGAGACUCGCACCCCCGACACCCGUACCGGCCCCGAGACUCCUGACCCCGACGCCUCCAGUCCCCGGCCCCGAGACUCCUGACCCCGACGCCUACAGUCCCCGCUUCCCGACUCAGGCUCCCUCCCUCUCAUCCCGUGGUACUCUCCCACACUCACUUUGGUGAUUUGAGGGCCGUCUGGGAUCCGGCCCUUGAGGGGGGGGCUAUGCCGAGGGCUGAGCCGGCGACUCGUGGUUUCCAGUGUCCCCCAGCCGGCGACUCCGGAGGUUUCUCGUGUCCCCCAGCCAGCGACUCCGGAGGUUUCCCGUGUCCCCCAGCCAGCGACUCCGGAGGUGUUCCGUGUCCCCGAGCCGGCCAUUCCGGAGGUGUUCCGUGUCCCCGAGCCGGCCAUUCCGGAGGUGUUCCGUGUCCCCGAGCCGGCCAUUCCGGAAGUGUUCCGUGUCCCCGAGCGGCGACUCUGGAGGUGUUCCAUGUCUCCCAGCCGGCUAUUCCGGAGACGUUCAGUGCCCUCCGGAGCCAGAUUGCUGACCGUCCGCCGGGCCAACCCCCGGACUGCCAGAGUUUCCCGGGCGGUCCGACGUCUCUUGUUUCCCUCCCUCCCGCCCCUUUUCCGCUCUCUGCCAGUUUGAGCCGUCUGGAAUUCGUCCGUUCAGGGGGGGGGGGGAAUUGCUCGUCUUGACUCCCACGAAAGACUCUCUAGGCUUUGUCCUGCUCGUCUUCGUCUUUCCCCGUUAUGCAAACGCUGAAGCUAAUCCUUCACUCGACCUCUAGUUAAAUACUCCCUCGUUAGUCGAAGUCGGCUACGGCUGCGCUGACCACUCCCCCGUCGUUUAGGAGACAAAAGGUCGAUUGGCCUCCGCAGAAACUCCUCAAAAUGCAAAACAGCAAUCGCUUGACACCCUAAUGAAGUGAACAAUAACCAUGUGGUGUUUUGACACCACAAAAGUGGAGUUUAAGGAUUCAAGUUUCUUCUGCUUCAGAAGAGAAGGCAAAACAGACUUGGAUUGGGUCAAACCUAGCAAUUAGCAUUACAUUAGUUUUGGUAGGCCGCGCAUGUGUGACGUAAUGUCAUUUUUUUCAGCGAUGGCACGCAAUCGACUGGUACUGCCUUCGCAUACCUCGCACCGGUUUGGGGAAAUCAAACUGUUUUAGGUUUUCCUAAUUAGCUACUCACCACUCCUUGGCUUUGGUUCUUUAGAUACUGCACUGAAAGGCAAUUGUAAAGAAGGGCACACACAGCAGGUGAGUACCAAUUUAGGCAAUGCACAUUCUUUCUUUAAACUUUUGUGUACCCUGCAUUGGUUGACGCUUCGGAAACUACUCCCGCCGGUAGUGUCCGGGUUGCCCGCACCUCCAACACUCCUGCCCUGGCGGUUGAGGAGCCCUCUGUAAGUUGGGGAGAGUGCCGGUCAGGCCGGGUGGAUCAGUACUCCAUUGAAAGGCUGGAUCUCGCGGGGUCGGCAGGGCCCGAGCUGCGACCGGCUGCGGGGCCCUCCUUUGUGGCGUGGGGACGGGCUGUGGUGAUGUGGCCGGCCGACCGCCCUCUCCCGGCCCGCCGGGGUGACCCGCCAGGUGGUCCUCCGCAAGGGUGACGGCGGCCUCCAGCGUCGCCGGCCGGUGGUAACGGACCCAGGCCGCGGUCCGCAGCGGCAGACCCUCCAGUAGCUGUUCCACCACCACCGCCGGCGCUCCUCCCGUGCCCUCCGGCUACAGCCACCUGUUGGCCGCGUCUCUGAGCCUCUGUGCGAACGCGAAUGGGCGGUCCCCCGGCCCCAGCCUCGCCCCUCGAAACCCCGCCAUUGCCUCAAACAUCUCCAGGAACGACUGCACCUCAUCCCCCAGGGUCAUCUUAUGCAGCGUCAUACGGCGGGGAACCCGGCGCCAGCGGGGCCGCAACUGGCCGGGCCGCCAACAGCUCCAUCACAUGGGUUUGCCGGUCCGCCUGUGCCUGCAGCGCCCCCAGGAAAAGCCGGUUGGACUCGGCCUGCUCGCUCUGCAUCGCCGCAAUCUCCCCCAGCAUCCGACCGAGUGUGAUCGCCGGCUGCAUCGGUCCCUCUCCGUCAUCAGGGUUGUCACCUUUUAAGGUUCGUGUAAGGACGCACGGAGACAUGAUUCUUCUGAGGAAUAAGUUUUAUUUAUUUUCUCGCAGUGAGCAGGUUUCGCGUAGUUGUCCUCGUCCACUCCGCUCCUCUCCUCUCCUCGGCCUUGCCCCUGAGCGUCUGCUGCAGAGUCUCCCUUUUCUCUCCAGGUCCUGCUCACUGCUUUUCAUGGGACAAACAAUCAGUUCUGAUCACUUCCACCUGUGCUCCUUACUCUCCUGCCGUCACCGUCCCCGGAACCACUCACCCGCUCUCCCCCCUGCAGCUGAGCUAACCACACCCCGCCACAGCAACAAUAUUUAAAACUGCCCAUCAGUAACUAACAUUCACACACUGUAGUCAAAGCUACAGGAGCAAUGUUGAUUUAAGUGUCUUGCCCAAGGACAUUGCCGGUUUAGCCGGGCCUGGGAUCAAACCGCCAACCCUGUGAUUGGAGAACCUUGCUCCCCACUCACCCACAGUCGCCCCCUCUUAUCUAUCUUUUAUGGUAGCUACAAUGGCAGCAUCUCAGAAUUCCUGUCGCCAUUUGCAAAGUAGAACUCUUACUUCCUCUCCAUGUUCAUUUGCACUUCUGCAUCGUCUGUGGUUGUUGCCUCUUGGUUGCUAGCUUCAAGGUCUGACAUUCUUCUCCACCACUGAUUAACAAAGUAAAAAACUGGAGGCAUAUUUAAUAUUAUAAAGCAUCAUCUCCCUCAGUCUUCAUUGUUAUCACUGUCCAUUGUGGGUGAAUUGAGAGCUUGAUUGUCCUUCAAUUAGAGGAUUGGCGGUGCAUCCCCAGUACCACUACUCCAGAUGUGUGUCCUUUGGACAAGACGCUUAACUUUGCUUUAUGUGUGCAUGGUGUGAAUGUUAGAUACUAAUGGGUAGGUGCACUGUUCAUGGUACCUCAUGUAAUCACUGUAUGAAUGGUUGAAUGAUGACAUGGAGUUUAAAGAAAUAUGACUUAUGUGUCUUUCGUAUUUAAGAUGAGCUAGGAAACAAACUGGUGUGCAUGUUCAGAGAGGACAACAGCUCCCAUGUGAUAAACCCUCAAAGACGGGCAGGGGCUUCAAAUGAAAAAUCCUGUAAAAGAAGGGUAAAGGAGUGCAGAGGGAAAAAAACAACUCACUGACAAGCAGUUUGUGUAACAAUGUACCGCCUGCCGGGGUUUUAAAAGAUUAAAAUGUCUGAGGUUCAUUUUUUAUAUUCCCGCUCAUUAGGACAUGUGUGACUUCUCAUUGUCAGGAGCGUUUGAAACUGUUACAUUUUGUUCCCGUUGAUAGCAAUCUGCAUUUUUCUUUGGUGAAACAUCUUGUUAUAUGUGUCACUACAAAGGAUCUUUUUUUCUGAAAUCCUUUCUGUUGCACUUCUCCUUCCCCUGUACUACCAAACCCAGGAUAUGUUUCUGCUGGAUCCCAGGCAGUUAUAUUUGUCCCCACUGUCUUAGCUAAAAGGAGAUACAGUAAGUACCAUGUGGUUGCACUUAUAUCCAUAGAAUAAAGGAUAGAACACAUGAGGUGCAGUCAGUCUAGAUCCUUGACCAAAGAACAGAAGAUAUAUCAUACCUGCAACAUUGAUCUGUCAGGUAAAAUGAAUACUGUUGUGAAGAUGACAUCUCAUCCUUAAUACUGUCGCUGGUCUCUGGUGGGAUCCACUUCAGCAGAACCUCAUUAAAGGAACACAGGGGUGGAGAUGGAAGGAGAGGUUACAAGAGGCUGUUUGUGUGUUUUCCACUAACCUCUGUAUAGACAAACACAACACAACAUGCUGUAACUGUAAUUGGUCAUAUUAAAUCAAUCAGGUAAAUAGAAUAACCUGAAUUUAUUUUUGCCUUUGAAGGUUUGGGUCAAAAUUCAACAAAAAAAGAGAACCCGAGACGACAAAAAGGAAAUCAUUCUUCAAGCCACAGGACUCGAGCUUGUUGGCAAACUUUUUACUCUUGUAAUGUUCUCCCCAUUUAUAUCUGACAUUAAUAUUCAGAUCAAGAAAAGGUUUAAAGCCGGGUUGGUAAGUUGGUACCUCUUUCGUUCCUGUGACACAUUUGAAUUAAAAUCAUAAGGCACCAAAUAUACCCUGUUACACGGACAAUGUGCACCAUCUACAGGUUAUGUUGUCAUGCUGAAUUCAUGGUAUGUUUAUUUUAUUCAGACUGAUGUUUCUGCAAUUAAAAGAAACAAACAUCAUAUCUUGCCUCUUUGUCGCAAUUGCUGUUUGAUAUGUUACAGCAUUGUUGCACUGUGAUGGUGUGCUGUAAUUGUGAGAAAGCUACUAAAUGGGCUUUGGCCAUAGACUUAAAAAAAAGUUUGACAGAGCAUUGGAGGGAGGGCCAUGUUCAUUCCUGUGAAAGUUGCUAAGUGGCCUCUGUAUAUAAAAGCUCAGUAGCAAGAUAUGGAAGAGAUGUCACAUGAAUUGUUUGCUCCCAAUGGCAGGGUUAUGUUUUGUAAUGGAAGCACUUUUGAUGUUCUGACCUGGGUGGAGACCAUCCAGGAAUGUGUCAUACAUGUUGGUGAAGUUUGUGUUUGUGUCCCGUCUUACGUCUGAUUUUGAUACUUCCUGUUUUAUUGUGGCGUCUAAACCCCCUCUCGUUGCAGGUGCCUUGCCCUUCCUCAGGUGUCUCCUGUCGAUUAUCUCCCCUGAUUCCUAAUUGUCUCCUCCUGUUCCCUCACCUCCCUCAUGGAUACUUAUUGUCUGCGUCUCCCUUUGUCCUGUGCCAGUGUGUCUUGUAGUCGUGCAUGUCCACACCCGCGUUCGUGUUGGUUUGUGAAAGGAUCUUUGCAUAUGGUAUUAUUAGAUAUAGGAAUAAUUGUACUACUGGAUCAUUGGAAUAAAUCUAUAGCAGUCAAACCUCUCUGCGUCCUUGUCCUCCUCCCCGGCUCCGGCCUCAUUGACAGAAUGGAGACUUUACUUUAACUGGCCAACUUGUUAUCUGUCUGUCCAUUUGCCAAACUGCUGGUUUGUAUGCGAUUGGGAAUCAUGGCUAUAAAUAGUGGCUAUGAGCAUAUACAUCAAGCAGCACUUCCAUCAGGGAAACCAACUAAUUAUUGUAGUGUGUGCCUUAGGUCUAAAACAAGCAAAUAUACAUAUCAGAAGACAUAUGCGGAGGGUUGAUGUACAUCAAAUGAUACCAAUUCUAUUAAGCCUACUGAUUGCCUCUUUGGCAGCUAUGAAAGCAAUUUAGAAAGAAAAUAAAGAAUGGUUUUGUUCCAUGCCAUGUGCCUGGGACUUUUAUUCAGGGGCUCCAGAAAACAAAGAUGCCUGGGUGGAUAUGGCUCAAUGGCUCUUGGUGUUUUUGUCUUUGAAUGUUAAUUGCUCAGAUCUUAAGUCGAUUAUUGGUGUAACACCUAAUUGUGCAAAUUUAUUGGACAGUAAACUAAAGUUGUGUCUCCCUGAAAGUCGUGCGGUAGUUAUAAGAACACAUCGAGGUGUAACUGCAACUAAUCUGAUUGAUUAAAAAAGAGCCUUUGAGAGGACCAGGGAGAGAGUUUAUUCAGCCCAGUGACGCAUUGAACUAAUUAGCAAGAGUAUUUUAGAGGGAAGACAUUGCUGAGGAAUUCUGAUCAUCACUCAUGGCCCUGUCUCUGUAGUUAAAUGAAGUGUCAUCUGUCAUGCAUACGCAUGCGAAGAGAGGACUAGGUUGGAGGUUCGUUUGUCAGCCGGCAUUCAGGACACUCAUUAUCUCGCUAAAGUGAUGUUCAUGUUUAAAAAUGAAUUCAUUUUUUAUUCCUCCCUCUCAAACCUCAGUUAAAAGGGACUGCCACGUUGGCAUCAGAUCUCAGUCCAAUUUUACUGGCCUGGGAGACUCUCUCUUUUCUUACUCUUUCUCCUCCAUCAUUCCAUCCCCCAUUUUUUUUCCACCUCCCUCCUAAAAAAACCCCCAUUCAUCAUUUUAUCUCCUGACCACAGUCAUCAAUGAAAACAUGCUGGUGCGUCCGUGCCUAUGCCAAGACAAUUAUGCCGAUGGCGCCUUCAAAGAGUUUUAUGAAUUCCAGCUCUCGUUGUGCCUGGCGGGAGGGAGGCAGGGAGGGAGCCGGAGACUGGGCCAGCACCGGGUGAAGGAGACACAGUUUGAGCAUGCUGAAGAUUUUCUGAUGAUCCACCAUAUUGCUGCUCCAUGGAUGGAGGUAAAUUGCAGCCAUGUGGUCCUAAGCAUAUUAAACUCUUUUAUAGAGUCUGAGCCUUGCUUAAUCAAGUGAAAAGUGCUGUGGGGGUCAAGCAGGGAUCAUUAAACGUCUCUGCUGCUGCUUAUCCCUCCAGAACAUAGCCUGAAAGGACAGCUAUAGAGAAGGAAGAAAAGAAACCAAAGAAACAUAAAGCUUCAGGAGAUCUCUCAUACAUGCUCCCAAGUGAGCUUGCAAACACUCCCUUUCAGAAUUUUAUUUUUCAGUUGAAAAGUCAAUGCUGUUCACCCAAGACGACAAGCAUUGUGUUUUUGCGUCCAACAAUCGAGUUUCAAAUUAAAUUGGCAAUACAAAUUUCACAAUUAUAUGUCGCUGUUCACCGGUUAAUUUGAUGAACAGCGACAUAUAAUUGUGAAAUUUGUAUGGACGGCAAUAAUCUCAUUUAAAAAAUUGAAAAGCAUAGGAUUCAGUCAAAAGGACAUAACAGGAGACAAGGUUUAUGCUGAAUGUAAUCCAUACAACCUGGAGAUGCUGGGGUGAAACCUACUGAGGCAAUAUUGUAGUAUGAGAUUUUGAAUUACACUAAAUAAAAUAAAUUGAACUCACGCAACUGUGUAUAUACAGAGUAACAAUGCAUGUGGAGGUGAUUAGGCUGAAAGAGACGGCUCAGUUUAACAGUCAAUCUGUUUUCAUUAUGACUUCUGUCUGGGAAUCUGUUUAUAUAUUAUUAUGCAAACAUGUUUUGGUAGAAACUCAAGAUACAAGGAUGAGCCUAAAAACAAGCAUGUCUCCUUCAACUGCUUGACUGUAUUUUAUUGAGGAAAACUUCAGUACUCUUUUGAAAGAAAUGUUUUUAUGCAAAUUUGUUGAUAAACCUUUUGAUAAAGAAAGGUUGAAAUAAUACUUUUUCAAAUCUAUUUUCUGACCUUCACUCACUUAACUUUUGUACAUUCUAAUACACAGGACCUCUCUUUUAAGGUUCACCUUUUUUUUGGUCACAUAUUCAACACAUCUGGUGAAAUGUGUGUUCGUCACUUACAGUACUGUGCCAGAGUUAAAAAUAAUUACUACAAUAUAUUCAACAAUACAAUGCAGACUCCAAUAUAACAAAAAAUGUAUAUUAAUUAAUUAUACAGCUUAAAUAAAUGUGUAAAAUAAAAGGGCUUUAGGAGUAGGAUGACCAAGUGGAAGUCUUUAUCCUACAUAAACACUUCGCUGAACUCAGUUAAUUAACUCAACUAAAUACUGUUUACUUUAAAACCUUUUAGUAAAUAGACAUUUUUUUUUAGCCUCUGCUCCAAAAAUGGCAUACCCAUGAUAUAAAUUGGAAUAACUCUUGUGUGGACAGUAAUAAUGUAAAGUUUCAUGUUGAAAGAAUACUAAAAAGUAGUGGAGGCUUUUAUUAAGGCCUCACGGGCUCAAAAUAUCAGGAUUUUGUAGCAUCAGCCUGUGGUAGACCGGUUCCCGCCUUUCAACCACUCAUUUUGAUUGUCUCAUCCCAUUAGAUCCAACUACAUCCACAUGGAAAAGGGUGACAGCUUCCUUAGCCACCCAGAAGCCAAAGUGGGUAGAGCAUAAAAUGACACUUGGCUAAAAAAACUCCCUUUCCCUAAAACCCGAGUGGAAGACGUUGGCUUUGCUUGUGAUGCGCAUUCCAUGGCGGGUGGACACACCUCAAUCAAAAAUCUGAUAACUUUGUUAAAAACCUCAAAAAGGUAAGGGGCAUGUAUAUUCUGGAUUGGUGGCUAUUUUUGCUCCGGUUUUGGCAAGGUUUGUCUGAGAGAACUGAUUCUCACAUCAACGUUUUCAGCUUUUAUUCGGCUAGCAAUUUGCCAUGUUGUUUUUGUGUUGGCUUCUUGCCUCGAUAAACCGCUGUGUGCACAUUUCUGAACUCAUUUGCACAUCAUAUUUUAUAUUUUGUUGCAGUAGUGUUUCUUCUUCCCGUCGGCAGUCGGGCUCAUCAACCGAGCCCGGUCCCCCACUGUGUGACUCUGACAUUCCACCGGUCACUCUGCUUCAUACUGCACAUGUCACUUUAACUGUAAUUUUUCACUCGUUACUUUGUUGUCACUCGUCACUUUGUCACUUGUUUGAUAGUGCACUUUAUUUUAAAAUAUUUUUUAACUUUAACUUUAUUCUCAUUUUAUACUAACCCAUAGCCUUAUUCUACUAACCCAUCACAUUAGCAUUUUAUUUUAUUACUUGUGCACUGCUGUCUUGUUGUCUACUGUUACACUGUCACCAACCGCCAAGACAAAUUCCUUGUAUAUUUGACAUAUUUUGGCAAUAAAUGUUUCCUGAUUCCUGAAAGACUUUUACAACAUUUCGAACAAGGUAAAUAAUUCAUAUAUUUGUUAGUGAUGAGUACACAAUAUUUCUUUGGAAGUUGGUUCUGGCUCUGUUCCAUAUAGGGUUCCUUCAUAUAUUUUAAUCUCCUUUUCAAUGUUCAUGAUUUUACUUGAUUGAAUUUUAAAGCCAAUGAGUAUGCCCUUUCCUCUAAUUAUUUCAGAAUUAUCUUGUGUUUUUACCAUGAUUCCCUUGAAGUUAUGUAGAAACAUCUACCCAUUUUUUUCUAGCUGUGUCUCGUUCGGCUGCAGCUGCGUAAUUAUUUGGUCGACGUUUGCAUGCUCAGGGACCUCUCUGUUUGCAUUGACUCAAGCUUUCUCAAAACACCUUUUUGCCUCUUUCAUACUGCUGUUGCCGAUUAUUGGAUCAGGUCACAUUUUACAGUAUACAAGCCAACAUGGGUUAUUCUGACCCACAAUCCUGUGUGCAUCAACAAAAAAAAAAUAUAUAUAUAUAUAUAUAUAUAAUGAGGGUUAUAUUUCACCAGACUUCUGUAUGAAUUGAAACAAAAACUGUGAAGUGAAUCAAAUACUUGAAUAUAUGACCAAAGAGCUCUCUCUAGGUUCCUGAUGAGUUGUGCCACGAUCCCAGCUCCUUGAGUGUGUUUUCUGUUUGUCUGUCUGUUUUGUGUUUGGUGUCCCUGAACGUAACCUGUUCCGGUUGCUGGGCAAUGAGAAGGUGGGAAUUCCAGGAUCACAGAUGCCCGCUCCCACCUGUUCCAAAUCCGCAAUCAACACAUCUGGUCCUGAUCAUCGUCUACAACACUAUUUAAGCAGAGACCUGACAUCCACUCCCUGCUGGAUCGUUAGCCAUAAUUCGUAUGUUGUGCUUGCGUGUCAGCCUCAAUAGUAAAUAAAUCAGUCUCUUGUUCUAUUUACUUGUGUGCUUAUCCGUUUCCUGUACCUCUGCUUCAAGUAUGUUCACCUUGGAUUUCCCGUCACUCCUACCGGGCAACCGGAACAUUGCCACUCACUUCAUCACUGGUACCCACCUGUCUGGAACAUGUCUGGAAUACCAUAAUUAACAAUUGUGUGUUCAAUAAAUACUCACCUUUUGUCACCACCAAGUGUAGUCUGCAUUUGGGUUCAAAACCAGAGAUGAUCGGACAUUCUGACCCACUGUAAGGGAACUAUAGUGAUUAGGUCAAUAAGUCAAUGGCCAGGCUCUCAGUUUUUCUGAGAUCUGCAGUUAGGGCCGGAAAACAAACCGAAUGGAAACUCAUGCAGGAAAAUUUAGUCAUUACUAAUGAAAAGUCAAAUUUGAUUGUAGUUCCUUCAUAAUUUGUCAACAGCCCAUGGUGGUGACAAUACUUUUAGAUUUUUUACUACUACAAAAUGUCUAAAACCCUGUCUAUUGCACUUACGGACACAGUGGUCCGUAAGGACGACAAGGGAGGUCCUGACCACUGCCCACUAAGGACAAUAAGAGGAAGGCUGGAGAUGAUGAAUGGACCUAUACAUUUAAUGUACAUCUAAUUUGUUGAGUUUUUGUAAUCCACCUGAUAUUUCAUUUAGAGCUUUUACUGAAGAUUUUCCAUCUCCAUCGAUAGACAUGGAAUUGUGUAAAAUAAAUGAAUUCAUAUGAAAAUUAUAUUGUUACAGUAUCAGGAAAUAUGACAAUUAAGUAUGUGGAUAUUCUCUAAAUCUUUGAAUUUUUAUAUUUACAUCAAUUAAACCAAUACAUGUGACCAUUUUUUAUAUCUGGCCUUUCAUAUUGACCAUAUUAGCCUAAAAUGAUUUACAAAAGUUGGCCUUAAGAGAAUAACGGACACCUUUUUACCUUACACUUCAGUAUGUGUUUAUUUGAAUAGCCUGAAAUAACAUUGCAUUUAAUUAAUGACAAAAUCAUUUAAAUGUUAAAACCCCUCCCUGAUAACUAAUCUCCCUCGGCCCCUGUAUGCUCUGAACUCCAUUUCGGCUCAGUUGUGGUUAUCACAUCUUGCCAUGUUUAAAAAAAACUGUGUGGUGGAGGUGUUUGAUAUGUUAAGAAGAAUUAGACACAUGGUCACAGCCCCAGAGGAGACGACAUCUGGGGAGGCAUGCCACCCACCACCUGCUGCUGCGUCAUGCUGUAAUCCCUGGUCACAUAGCCAGCCGGCCAGCCAGAAAGUUAAUGGAUGUCAUCCUUCUCUAUGUGUGGAUGUACCUUUUCGUGUAUCGACCCGGGCUUAUUAUUUUGCAAUAAGAGCUUUUGAUCAUUCAGAGUGUGCGGGAGGCCUGACUUCAUACAGGAGAACAAACGCUGUGGCUGCAUCCAAUCAAAGUGCAAAGAAAAAGGGGAGGGCCACCCUUCACCCAAGACAUAUCUCAAGCUCCAACCAAAUGGAAAAGUAACAUUCAUAUCUUUUAGACCCUUUUAUUUAGUGUGCCAUAGAGUUACGGUAGUUUUUCUCAAGGGAUAAGAAAGAAAAUAUAGAUUAGGGUGGGUCAGAUAUGGCUAUAUCAUGUAACAUGUAAUACAAUUUCAAUAUUAUCCGAAAAUCACUAUGAAACAUUGAGGUUUACACUGAUUCAAAUGACUGAAAGAAUAAUGCAAUAUUUUCAUAUACAGAUUUACAGCUUUAGCUAGUAGCACAACAUAAACAAAAUGUCAUUUAUAGUCUAUAAGCUAUUUACUAUUAUGCUGGGCAAAAGCCAAGGGGCUACUUCUUCUAUUGCAGUGUUUUUCAACCUUUUUUGCGUCAAGGCACACUUAAGACACAGAAAAAAUCUCACGGCACACCAACAACCGGAAAUGAUAUGAAAAUCAAUCCCAAACAUAGUUUCAGCAUGAGCAUAAUAUACUCUAAGAAAUCAGGGAAACGCGUGUUCUAUUUGUUGUGUUUUAUUAAACUUAACAUCAUCCUAAUGCCAAGAUGGCACAGGCUUUAUGCCCAGGUAUCUCUUAAGCCUAGUUUAUGCUUCUGCGUUUUCCCUUGCGUCGCUUUUCACACCCCCUUGCGUCCUUGCGUGUGUCGAGCCAUUUUUCUGCGACGCAAGCCUCCCGCAGCGCACCAGGCUGUGAUUGGUCCGCUAACUACGUCCUUUACGGAGUCUCACAUUUCCGCUUUCAUAGCCCGAGACCGCCAUUAUUAAAAAUGAAGAAUGUUUACGAGAGAAACGGAUCAGAUUUGAGAACUUUUGUCGGAAGAACUGCGUAAAUAUGAGUGCUUAUACAAGCCGUCAUUGGCGGGUUGUAGAAGCAGGUUGGAUUCAUGGAGGGAGAUCGCCUCAAACGCCGGUUUGCCGGUCGAGAGGUGCACAAAGUUGUGGAGGAAAAUACGGGACAAAUGUGUCCACGAUGAAAAGCAGCAGUGCCGAUGCACGGGCCAAUAAAGUUUAUGAUAAAUUAAUAAACAAAUAAAUAAAUAGACGUGACUCUCUAGGUCGUCUUCAACAAAAACACGUUACUCCGCCUGUUGUUCUGGAGGUGAAUUACUCUGCAACACACGCAGAACCGACGCAGACGCAAACGCAGAAGCAUGCGCCAGUCUGAAAUCUCACUUUUUUAAAUUGUCGCCUCAGCAAAUCUGCCUAUUAAUUACGCUGCGUACCGCCACCCACAGGCAGAGGGGAGUAUUGAGCCUUCAUACCACCAACAGCGCAACGACACACACACAAACACACAAGUUGGCUCUUUUUUUCACCAAUGAAGUGACAGUAUGUAAAAAAUGAUUUUUUUUCACGGCACACCUGACAGCCUCUCGCGGCACACUGGUUGAAAAACACUGUUCUAUUGUAUAUUGUACCCAUGGUCUUUAAUAUAUUUUAAUUCUAAUUUGAAGGUCAUUUACAUUAAGAAACUAAGAUGAGUCUCCGAUAUUAAGUGUUCAAUAUUUCUGGAUAUUUCCGCUUCUAU